UUUUCUUCUUCUAUUUUUUUAGGGUUUCGAUCUCCACAAGCAGUACGAGGUAGCCGCAAAUAAACGAUUUCACAGCGAGAACACCGAGUAGUCGUCGAUCACUCUUUCUCCUGUCACGAUCGAGUUCAGAUUCCGGGUUGACCAGGACCAUGCGAACAGGAACCAACAAUUCACUGUUCCGAACAGGUUUACUGCUUUAUGUCUCCACACGGGGUCUCUCUCCACAGCAGGCUCAGGCUCACGAAAACAGCAAAGCUUUUACACUCGUAACUCUCCACACGAACAGAACUGCUUCAAACUCAAGCAGAAAAAUUCGUAGAUGGUGUUCACCACAGCAGAAAUUCACAACACAGAUCAAUAAUCAAGAGCUGUUUUUAAAGAAAGGUUUUACUAAGAGGGUGUUUGGAAUUGGAUGCUCACUUUGUACUUUUUAUAAGAGUGUUUUAAUGGAUUCGAAGAGCUGUUAUAAUCUCAAAGGUUCUCUUUUGUAAUGAUUGCAAUAUGUUUUGCAUAAGUGAUUUUUGUACAAAAUAUGGAAACCUGUCAACCAUUUGAACUACUAAGAGGGUGUUUGUAUGCUUAUUUUCUGAGUGAGUAUUGUGAAAAUCUUAUUAUUUUUAUUUAGUUUUUUUAAACAUAUUUUUAAGUAACCAGUUUCAUACAACUAUAUAUUAUGGGUAUGAAAAUCUUAUUAUUUUUGUAGCCUUAAUGAUACAAAAUUUAAGAUCAAAAUCUGAUUUCUGAAACAUUUAAACUUUGAUUGUUCUGACUUCAUAUCACCAUAAUCACUUUAGAUAUACUUCUGAACACCCAUUAAGGAACAUAAAUACAAAUCUCUUCAAAAAUUUAUUUAAAAGUAGAAUGUUAGUAAUUUCUUGGACAAAUCAACGUGGAAAGUGUUGCAUUUUAGGAGACAGAGGGAGAUCUUUUGGUUUGAGGGUUAAAUGUGUCAAAAUGGAUGCUUCCUUAUUGGAUCUAAAUCAUUAAUCAUAAGAUUAUAAGUGUGCUACUUUCUAUUUUUUGCCUUUUAUAGCAACAUACUAAUUUUACCUUUUUAUAGCAUUGUACUUUUAAUAUUGGCGAAUAGGAAAUUGUCUGUACACAAACACCCCCCCCCCCCCCCCCCCCCACACACACACACCCACAAACACAAAUGCCCACCCACCCACCUACAUGCACACCAACCCACACACCUACCCACCCCCACAAACACACACCUACCCACCCUACCCCCCACCAAAACACACACGCCCACUAACCCCUAUACCCACACACAUACCCCCACCCCACACCCACAAAAACACCAACACAACCACCCAACACUACUACCACAAUCACCGACCUACCAUCACCACCACCGCCGCCAUCACCAACACUGCCACAAUUGCCGCCGCCACCACCACCAUCUUCGUUGCCCCCACCCCUACCCUACCACCGCUACCAUUUUUCUAAAAAUGAAAACAGAUAGAAAAAAACACGUCUAAACACAUUUUCUAAUUUUCUAAAACUGAAAAUGAAAAAUGAAUAAGUUUUAACCAAACACGCUUUCUAAAUUUUCCAAUAAAAACGGAAAACGAAAACUGACAAGGGAAAACGAAAAACGGAAAAUGAAAACUGUUUUUCCGUACUAAUGCAACCUUAGUAUUCUAAGAAUUAGAAAACCGGAUUUAAAUAAACAUAAAAUGUACCAUGAAAAAAACAUUAUUAUUAAUCUUUUACAUCUCAUUUAAUCAUUUUAUCCACAUGUUUUUUUUUUUGGGAAAAUUGCAAAAAUGUCUUUAUAUACCGUCUUAAUAAUCGAUUUAGUCACUAUAUAUAUAUUUUUUAUUCAAUUAAGUCUAAAAAACCGGUAACCGUAUUCAAUCUAACUUUUUUAACCGGUCAAUAGGUUAUUCAACUUUCCAAAAUUACACUUUUGGCAUAGAUUUCAAUGUUUAUUACAAAUUCGGUCCAACAUUUACACUAUUGGCCCAUAUUUUGAUUUUUAUUACAAAUUUGGUCUAAAGUUUACCUUUUUGGCCCAAAUUUCAAAAUUUUAUCAUGAAUUCAUCCUAACCUUAGUAUUUUCUUACAACCUUUUUUCUCAAAAAAAAAAAAUGUCGAAUAUGUUUUUUCUUUGUAAAAACAUAUUUACACAAAAAAAACAUAUUUUCACAUAAAAAAUCUAUAUUUUCUAUAUGAUUUUUUUUAAAAAAACUUAUUUGUAUACAAAAUACCUAUUUAUAAAAAUAGGUAUUUAUUAAGUACAUAAAUAUAUACAAAUCCAUUAUUAUUAAAAAAAUAUACAAACAUGUAUUUUACAAAAAAUCUAUACAAACAUCUAUUUUAUUAUAAAUAUAUUUUGUAAAAACAUAUUUAUACGCACCCAAAUAAGUGUUUGUAUACUUUUCUCUUGUAAAAACACACACACACACACACACACACAUAUAUAUAUAUAUAUAUAUAUAUAUAUAUAUAUAUAUAUAUAAUAAACACAUUUGUAUUCAAAACACGUUUAUAUAUAAAAUUUAUACAAACUUGUAUUUUUUAAAAAUAUAUUCAAACUCAUUUUAUAAACAAAUGUAUACAACAUGCUUAUAUAAAAAGUAUAUAUAUAAACAUGUUUUUGACAAAAAACAUUACUUGAGAAGUAAAUUAUCGACAAUUAAAAUAUCCUUCUAAAUGUAUACUCUAAAUAAUAGAUAUAUAAUCAAUACUAUAAAAUAAUAACUCAUUCAGAAUUCAUUUUGAAUUUUGAUCAUAGAUAAAAAAAUGUGCGUCUUCAAAUAAAAAACAAAAUUUAUUGUCAUACAUUUUUAAUUUUUUUUUUUUUUUUACAAUUGACACAACGUUAUAUUUUCGUUUUAAACCCAAAAUAAUCUAUCAAAAUGGGUUAGUUUCCAAGUUAUAAGUUAGCAUCUUCCAAUGCAAAUUAGAUUUCACAGUUAGAGGUUUACUUUUUCAUUACCUUUGUGUCAAAGUUGGGUGUUCAAUUAUACUUGUUAUCGAAUAGAAAUAAUACCGAAAGAAACUAUUCACACCCAUCGUUUAACUUGGGUAAAAUGCUAGUGUGUGUGUGUGUGUGUAUGUAUAUAUAUAUAUAUAUAUAUAUAUAUAUAUAUAUAUAUAUAUAUAUAUAUAUAUAUAUAUAUAUAUAUGCACACAUACACACAUUCGAUUUUUUUUUGAGAAAAAAUGUUCUAAGAAAACUAAAGUUAUGAUCAAUUCAUAACAAAAUUCUGAAAUCUAGGCCAAAAGGGUUAAUUUUAGACCAAAUUUGUAAUAAAAUUUAAAAUCUAGGCAAAAAUUACAAAUUUGGACCAAAUUUGUAGUAAAAUUUGAAAUUUGGAUAAAAAGUGUAAUUAUUGAAUGUUGGAUAAACCUUUGACAUGGUAAAAAGGUUAAAUUAAAUACGAUUACCGAUUUUCAGGACUUAAUUGAAUAAAAAAAGACAUAAAGACUAAAUCGAUUAUGAGACCAAUAUGUAAGGAUUUUUUGUAGAGUUUUCAUUUUUUUUAGUUUCAUUAAAUUGUUCAUGAUUUAAGCUUAAUUAAUCAUAAUUAAUACAUUGAUGCUAGUGGUUAAUUUGUUCUUGAAGGCUUAAAUGCUGGCACCAUGUUGAAAGUAACAACAAUUUCUUAAAAGGGGAUAUGUUUUGUUAUUUGAAAUUGUAUGUAAAAUGGAAUAAUAUAAAACAGAAACCGGUAGACAGUUUCAUUCGUUCUUCAUGAUCAUCUGCCUUUAAAACUUUGUUAUUUACUACAUUUUCAACUAUAAUAUUAUAUAUUCAUUUUUUUUAAAGAAUCAUAUUUUAAAAAAUUGUACCCAUUUACAAUAACAGAUUUACCUAAAGUUUUGGACCAAUGUAGGCUAUUAUAGGCUGUGCUAAGCACAAUCAUUGGAGAACAAUAAUGUAACAACUGACAAUGUAACCCAUAGAAAUAAUAAUGUCACUAAGAAACAUUCAAAUGUAA